rnacentral:rRNA from 1 species
UACGUAGGUGGCAAGCGUUGUCCGGAUUUACUGGGCGUAAAGAGCGCGCAGGCGGUCGUUCAAGUCGCGUGUGAAAGCCCCCGGCUCAACUGGGGAGGGUCACGCGAUACUGAUCGACUCGAAGGCAGGAGAGGGUAGUGGAAUUCCCGGUGUAGUGGUGAAAUGCGUAGAGAUCGGAAGGAACACCAGUGGCGAAGGCGGCUACCUGGCCCAAUACUGACACUGAGGCACGAAAGCGUGGGGAGCAAACAGG